rnacentral:rRNA from 1 species
UUUAUACAGUGAAACUGCGAAUGGCUCAUUAAAUCAGUUAUCGUUUAUUUGAUAGUUCCUUUACUACAUGGUAUAACUGUGGUAAUUCUAGAGCUAAUACAUGCUUAAAAUCUCGACCCUUUGGAAGAGAUGUAUUUAUUAGAUAAAAAAUCAAUGUCUUCGGACUCUUUGAUGAUUCAUAAUAACUUUUCGAAUCGCAUGGCCUUGUGCUGGCGAUGGUUCAUUCAAAUUUCUGCCCUAUCAACUUUCGAUGGUAGGAUAGUGGCCUACCAUGGUUUCAACGGGUAACGGGGAAUAAGGGUUCGAUUCCGGAGAGGGAGCUGAGAAACGGCUACCACAUCCAAGGAAGGCAGCAGGCGCGCAAAUUACCCAAUCUAAUACAGGGAGGUAGUGACAAUAAUAACGAUACAGGGCCCUUCGGGUCUUGUAAUUGGAAUGAGUACAAUGUAAAUACCUUAACGAGGAACAAUUGGAGGGCAAGUCUGGUGCCAGCAGCCGCGGUAAUUCCAGCUCCAAUAGCGUAUAUUAAAGUUGUUGCAGUUAAAAAGCUCGUAGUUGAACUUUGGGCCUGGUUGGCCGGUCCGAUUUUUUCGUGUACUGGAUUCCAACCGGGCCUUUCCUUCUGGCUAACCUUGGUCCUUGUGGCUCUUGGCGAACCGAUUUUUACUUUGAAAAAUUAGAGUGUUCAGCAGCGUAUUGCUCGAUAUAUAGCAUGAAUAUAGAUAGACGUUUGGUCUAUUUUGUGGUUUCUAGACAUCGUAUGAUAUAGGACG